CUACGGGAGGCUCCAGUGAGGAAUAUUGGUCAAUGGGCGAAAGCCUGAACCAGCCAUGCCGCGUGAAGGAUGACGGCCCUAUGGGUUGUAAACUUCUUUUAUACGGGAAGAAACACCUCUACGUGUAGAGGUUUGACGGUACCGUACGAAUAAGCAUCGGCUAACUCCGUGCCAGCAGCCGCGGUAAUACGGAGGAUGCAAGCGUUAUCCGGAUCUAUUGGGUUUAAAGGGUACGUAGGCGGAAACUUAAGUCAGUAGUGAAAUCCCGCAGCUUAACUGUGGAACUGUUAUUGAUACUGGGUUUCUUGAAUAUUGUUGAGGUAGGCGGAAUAAGUAAUGUAGCGGUGAAAUGCUUAGAUAUUACUUAGAACACCGAUUGCGAAGGCAGCUUACUAAGCAAUUAUUGACGCUGAGGUACGAAAGCGUGGGGAGCGAACAGGAUUAGAUACCCGGGUAGUC
rnacentral:rRNA from 1 species